UGCUAACUCAUGAUUUUAAACGUUUUAUGUUAUUUUUGAUAAAUAUAAAUAAAGAUUAUAGUUGUUUUAAUAAUUUUGCAACAAUAUUGAAUAUAUGUAAUACCAGGUAUAAAGAGCUGUAUGUUGGGUUGAGUUUCUACCAAAGAACCCACAACAUGGUCACUCAGAAACCUGCGAAAGUAUGGAUUUGAUAGUAAAAUCUUCAGUUUUGAGUGUGGAAGACGCUGUGCCACUGGCGAAGGCAUAUUUGCAUUCAAAUGCAAGAAAGCUGAGCAAUUAUUCAAUCUUCUACACUGUUUAGGUGCUUAGCCUUGACUGGUCGUCAGGUGGUGGGUACAGAACAGUUGGCCGCGAGACGUGUCGCCACGAGGCUUCGUCGUCAGAAUAAUUCAAGUUUCUAAAUAAUUGAUGUGUAAAUUUACGGAUUAACUGGAAACAAACGUGUUUACUAUUGUGCUAGUGAUUAAACACACGUAGGAACUUGGUAAACCGGGUACAUUUGUUAUUAAGUGAUAUUUACAAACGUACCAUGCGUUUGUAGCAUCAAUUUCCUACGUCCUGGCGAACGUAUAAAUGCUGGUGAUCGCGAAUUUGGUCACACCGAUGGAUGUUGCACCGAUACAUACAAACUUGUUUGCUAACAUUUUAUUUACAAGCUAUCAAAUCGUUUGAUUCUAUUAGGUUUCUUUGGAUUCUGUACAGCAUAAGUCAAGAUGAUGAUCAUCGAGUACCAAUGGGACUACCAUCUUUCGUCUUACUGAAUAGCUUAGGAAAUAGUGUUUAUUUCAAGCAGUAUUGUGCCAUGGCUAACAAAUGAAAUAGUUUGGAACUGGGAACGGCAAAGGGUGGUUUUAUGUCCAGCUGCACAUCGAAGCCAACGUGAACAAGGGGUUGAUGAAAUACUGGGAACAUUUUGAUUGUUAUUGUUAUUUAUAUUAUUAACAUACAAAUUAUACUUGCAUAUAUAUGUUAAAAUUAAUUUAUUGGUCCUUUUGUGGAUUGAAGUAAUUAAUAUGACUUGAUGUAUGAAUAUGAAUAUAAUUUAUAUUAUUAA